GCGCGAGUGGCGGAAUUGGUAGACGCGCUGGAUUUAGGUUCCAGUGUCUGCGGACGUGAGGGUUCGAGUCCCUCCUCGCGCA
rnacentral:tRNA from 2 species